rnacentral:rRNA from 1 species
AGAGUUUGAUCCUGGCUCAGGAUAAACGCUGGCGGCGCACAUAAGACAUGCAAGUCGAACGAACUUAACCUUUAGUUUACUAUAGGAGCGGUUAGUGGCGGACUGGUGAGUAACACGUAAGCAACCUGCCUAUCAGAGGGGAACAACAGUUAGAAAUGACUGCUAAUACCGCAUAUACCUAAGUAUCGCAUGAUACAAUAGGGAAAGGAGCAAUCCGCUGAUAGAUGGGCUUGCGUCUGAUUAGAUAGUUGGUGGGGGUAACGGCCUACCAAGUCGACGAUCAGUAGCCGGACUGAGAGGUUGAACGGCCACAUUGGGACUGAGAUACGGCCCAGACUCCUACGGGAGGCAGCAGUCGGGAAUAUUGCGCAAUGGAGGAAACUCUGACGCAGUGACGCCGCGUGCAGGAAGAAGGUUUUCGGAUUGUAAACUGCUAUAGACAGGGAAGAUACAAGACAGUACCUGUAAAAUAAGCUCCGGCUAACUACGUG